rnacentral:misc_RNA from 1 species
GGUAGUGGAGGUAAAAAGAGUGAGAACAGUGAAAACCGCAGGAAAAACAAAUGUAAAACAAAAAAUUUAUAGAAUUUAAACGGUUUUCAUGGAAUUUAAAAUAUUUGAGUGAAACUUUUUGCCCAUUUUCCCCACGGAAAGCAAUCCGGUACGCUCUAUUUCGCCCACUGAAGUGGGCCGACAGCGUUCUGAACCCGUAUGUAACCCGUGUUUAAUCUGUAUGAUGCCCGUAUGUGACACGGCAGAAAUCCUUUCAAUACACUCGUAAAGUAUCGGUUCAUUCUCGUACAAAUAUCAGUGUUGCGUAGACGCGUUAAUGUGCUGAAAUAUUGAAAUAGUUGUGGCUAUAAGAAAACUAACGAUUGAACAACUGGCAAUGAUUGCUAUCAUUUUGGAUGAAAAGGAAGAGGAAUGUCCAAAAAACACUCGACGCUACUGGAUUCACAAUUCUAUAAAUAAACGCAAAACGGAAGGAGAAUAUUGGACAUUAUUCAGGCACUUAGUUGAUGACGAAGAAAAGUUUUUUCAGUACUUCCGAAUGUGUACAUUCAAAUUUAACGAUUUGCUGAAAAAAAUUGAAAAUGACAUUGUCAAAA